CACGUAGGGGGCAAGCGUUGUCCGGAUUUAUUGGGCGUAAAGAGCUCGUAGGCGGUCUGUCGCGUCGGCUGUGAAAUCCCGAGGCUCAACCUCGGGUCUGCAGUCGAUACGGGCAAACUGGAGUGUUGCAGGGGAGACUGGAAUUCCUGGUGUAGCGGUGAAAUGCGCAGAUAUCAGGAGGAACACCGGUGGCGAAGGCGGGUCUCUGGGCAACAACUGACGCUGGAGGAGCGAAAGCGUGGGGAGCGAACAGG
rnacentral:rRNA from 1 species